CAAGUCGAACGGUAACAGGGAGCUUGCUCCGCUGACGAGUGGCGAACGGGUGAGUAAUGCGUCGGAACGUGCCGAGUAGUGGGGGAUAACUAUCCGAAAGGAUAGCUAAUACCGCAUACGCUUCGAGAAGGAAAGCAGGGGAUCUUCGGACCUUGCGCUAUUCGAGCGGCCGACGUCUGAUUAGCUAGUUGGUGAGGUAAAGGCUCACCAAGGCAUCGAUCAGUAGCGGGUCUGAGAGGAUGAUCCGCCACACUGGGACUGAGACACGGCCCAGACUCCUACGGGAGGCAGCAGUGGGGAAUUUUGGACAAUGGGCGCAAGCCUGAUCCAGCCAUGCCGCGUGUCUGAAGAAGGCCUUCGGGUUGUAAAGGACUUUUGUCAGGGAGGAAAUCCCUAGCGUUAAUACCGCUGGGGGAUGACAGUACCUGAAGAAUAAGCACCGGCUAACUACGUGCCAGCAGCCGCGGUAAUACGUAGGGUGCAAGCGUUAAUCGGAAUUACUGGGCGUAAAGCGUGCGCAGGCGGUUGUGUAAGUCUGAUGUGAAAGCCCCGGGCUUAACCUGGGAACUGCAUUGGAGACUGCACAUCUAUUGUGCGUCAGUAGGGGGGUAGAAUUCCGCGUGUAGCGGUGUAUUGCGUACAGAUGCGUAGAUUCCCGAUGGCGAUGCAGC
rnacentral:rRNA from 1 species